AAUAUUGCACAAUGGGCGAAAGCCUGAUGCAGCAACGCCGCGUGAGUGAUGAAGGCCAUCGGGUCGUAAAGCUCUUUGAUCAGGGAUGAUAAUGACAGUACCUGAAAAACAAGCCCCGGCUAACCAAGUGCCAGCAGCCGCGGUAAUAAGUAGGUGGCGAGCGGUGUACGGAAUUACCGGGCGUAAAGGAUGCGUAGCUGGAUAUUUAAGUGGGAUGUGAAAUCACCGGGCUCAACCCGGGAACUGCAUUCCAAACUGGGUAUCUAGAGUGCAGGAGAGGAAAGCGGAAUUCCUAGUGCAGCGGUGAAAUGCGUAGAUAUUAGGAGGAACACCAGUGGCGAAGGCGGCUUUCUGGACUGUAACUGACACUGAGGCAUGAAAGCAUGGGUAGCAAACAGG
rnacentral:rRNA from 1 species